rnacentral:rRNA from 1 species
AACUAACAGAUUUACUUCGGUAAUGACGUUAGGAAAGCGAGCGGCGGAUGGGUGAGUAACACGUGGGGAACCUGCCCCAUAGUCUGGGAUACCACUUGGAAACAAGUGCUAAUACCGGAUAAGAAAGCAGAUCGCAUGAUCAGCUUUUAAAAGGCGGCGUAAGCUGUCGCUAUGGGAUGGCCCCGCGGUGCAUUAGCUAGUUGGUAAGGUAAAGGCUUACCAAGGCGAUGAUGCAUAGCCGAGUUGAGAGACUGAUCGGCCACAUUGGGACUGAGACACGGCCCAAACUCCUACGGGAGGCAGCAGUAGGGAAUCUUCCACAAUGGACGCAAGUCUGAUGGAGCAACGCCGCGUGAGUGAAGAAGGUUUUCGGAUCGUAAAGCUCUGUUGUUGGUGAAGAAGGAUAGAGGUAGUAACUGGCCUUUAUUUGACGGUAAUCAACCAGAAAGUCACGGCUAACUACGUGCCAGCAGCCGCGGUAAUACGUAGGUGGCAAGCGUUGUCCGGAUUUAUUGGGCGUAAAGCGAGCGCAGGCGGAAGAAUAAGUCUGAUGUGAAAGCCCUCGGCUUAACCGAGGAACUGCAUCGGAAACUGUUUUUCUUGAGUGCAGAAGAGGAGAGUGGAACUCCAUGUGUAGCGGUGGAAUGCGUAGAUAUAUGGAAGAACACCAGUGGCGAAGGCGGCUCUCUGGUCUGCAACUGACGCUGAGGCUCGAAA